rnacentral:lncRNA from 1 species
AUGGGGAUGUAGGAGUUUGCGGUUGUAAUUGAAUGUUAUUUCAAGUAUUAUUAAACGAUUUGUAAGACUAAUACUUAGUUAGAAAUGAGUACAUUGUAAAAUACUUAUGACUGAUUUAAUAUAAUAUAAUAUAGCAGUUUAAUAAUAAAUUACCAAUAUUAAUAUAUUAUAAAAAAAAUUAUAAUCAUAUUAUUAUGAUAAUAUAUAAAAUUAGUCAUUUAAUAUAAU